rnacentral:rRNA from 1 species
UACAGAGGGUGCGAGCGUUGUCCGGAAUCACUGGGCGUAAGGGCGCGUAGGCGGCUUGAUAAGUAGGGGUGAAUCUUGCGGCUCAAUGCAAGGCUGCCUCCUAAACUGACAGGCUUGAGCACAGUAGAGGCAGGUGGAAUUCCCGGUGUAGCGGUGGAAUGCGUAGAGAGUCGGGAGGAACACCGGCCGGCGGAAGGCGGCUGCCUGGACCAGU